AUACGUAGGGGGCGAGCGUUGUCCGGAAUGAUUGGGCGUAAAGGGCGCGUAGGCGGCCCGGUAAGUCUGGAGUGAAAGUCCUGCUUUUAAGGUGGGCAUUGCUUUGGAUACUGUCGGGCUUGAGUGCAGGAGAGGUAAGUGGAAUUCCCAGUGUAGCGGUGAAAUGCGUAGAGAUUGGGAGGAACACCAGUGGCGAAGGCGACUUACUGGACUGUAACUGACGCUGAGGCGCGAAAGUGUGGGGAGCAAACAGGAUUAGAUACCCUGGUAGUCCACACUGUAAACGAUGAAUGCUAGGUGUAGGGGGUAUCGACCCCUUCUGUGCCGCAGUUAACACAAUAAGCAUUCCGCCUGGGGAGUACGGCCGCAAGGUUGAAACUCAAAUGAAUUGACGGGG
rnacentral:rRNA from 1 species